CGGCAAUCCCGGCCUGUCCCCUACUUACCCCUUCUGGUUCUGAUUGUUCCUUCCACCACACUGUCCAAGAAGCGAGUCCAGCCCCUAGAAGCUGGAGUUACAGAAAGACUAACACAAAGAUGUACACUCAGUGCCCCUUUUCCUCAUAUUGAGGGAAGAAGACUGUGCUGUAUGGACAGCCUGAACGGUCUCUGAAUAACUGCGUGAACCAGAGAAUGAACAAGCUGAGGACUAGAACAAAUGUUUAAAGAUAAAGUUCCUGGGGCACAGAGAGGCUGUCUCCCCAACAGAGGCUCGUGAGCUCCUCCCUUCCAUCCUCCAUCUGUGUGAGCCUUUCAACAGCUGCUCCCUGCAUUCAUGUCUCCAUCUCAGAGACUAAAAAAGCCUCAGAGAGUUUCUGUGAACUACUUGUAAGAAUUCAUCAAGGACCAGCAGGCAGUCCUGAAGUUCUGAUAAAUAAAGCAGGUCCAAGGGCAAGAAAUAGGAAGAAAGAGAGAUGGGUGGGGACACUGGGGCCAAGAGAAGAGGGAAGACAAAGUCAAGAAAGGCCAAUGUCACAAUACUGCCACCAACAUCUCCUCUCUUUUCGCGUGCCCACGAAUAAAGGCAGCGGGCACUGGUACUUCCAAGUCUUCAGAAGGCAGUCCCCACUCAGGUGAAAAUGUGUUAACGGGUCUCUUUGGAGACAACUGGACAUCAGGAUGCCUCUUUAUCAGAGACACAUGCACGGUUUUCCUUACACUGUCUCUAAGAAACAGAACUACCAAAGACUAUUUGGAAACCAAGAAUAACCACAGGCUAUGUCUACAUGGACAGAGGGAACAAGAGAGGUGAGGCAGUGGUUGAGAUA